ACACCUCAACUCUUCAUGGUUUUCCGUGAUGAGCUUGGACUUUGGGGGUUUUGCUGGCCUAUGGUCGGCUCCUCUGAAAUGAAUCAGCUUGCCAGUGUUUGGUGGGCAUCACAGGUGUGAUAACUAUCUACGCUUGUGGUUUUCCACCAGGUAACCUUCAGCAGUGGAGGUUCACUGGAGCUCACAGAUGUCUCUCCUCAGUGAGGACGACCCAUUGAAU
rnacentral:misc_RNA from 1 species